rnacentral:rRNA from 1 species
CACAAGCGGUGGAGCAUGUGGUUUAAUUCGAUGAUACGCGAGGAACCUUACCUGGGCUCAAAUGUAUGUUGACGUAUUCUGAAAGGGAUACUUCUUCGGACAAUAUACAAGGUGCUGCAUGGUUGCCGUCAGCUCGUGCCGUGAGGUGUCGGGUUAAGUCCCAUAACGAGCGCAACCCCUAUCAUUAGUUGCCAUCAGGUCAAGCUGGGGACUCUAAUGAAACUGCCUACGCAAGUAGUGAGGAAGGUGGGGAUGACGUCAAAUCAGCACGGCCCUUACGUCCAGGGCUACACACGUGCUACAAUGGUCGGUACAAAGGGUUGCCAAGCCGCGAGGUGGAGCUAAUCCCAUAAAACCGAUCGUAGUCCGGAUCGCAGUCUGCAACUCGACUGCGUGAAGUCGGAAUCGCUAGUAAUCGUGAAUCAGAAUGUCACGGUGAAUACGUUCCCGGGCCUU